AUCAUCAUUGUUGGGUUAUCAUUGUUUUUCUCUCUUUCCAUACCUGCCUACUUUCAACAAUAUGGUCUCUCUCCAUCCAACAUGUCAGUGCCGAAUUAUUUCCAGCCUUAUGUUGUGGCUUCUCAUGGACCUAUACAGAGCAAGAAUGGAGGGGUCUGGAGAAUGGGGAGAUCAUUUGACAUUGCAGGCAGCUGCUGAUAAGGUUUGCUAUGCAGAGAUAUUUGCUCUCAUUCCCUAAGAAUUGGAUCUCAUUCAAUCUGAC